rnacentral:rRNA from 1 species
CGAACGGGUGAGUAACGCGUGGGUAACCUGCCUUCAAGAGGGGGAUAACAUUCUGAAAAGAAUGCUAAUACCGCAUGACAUAUCGGAACCACAUGGUUUUGGUAUCAAAGAUUUUAUCGCUUGAAGAUGGACUCGCGUCCGAUUAGUUAGUUGGUGAGGUAACGGCUCACCAAGACCGCGAUCGGUAGCCGGACUGAGAGGUUGAACGGCCACAUUGGGACUGAGACACGGCCCAGACUCCUACGGGAGGCAGCAUG